UACGUAGGGUGCGAGCGUUAAUCGGAAUUACUGGGCGUAAAGCGUGCGCAGGCGGUGAGCUGUGUCCGAUGUGAAAGCCCCGGGCUUAACCUGGGAAUGGCAUUGGAAACUGGCUCGCUGGAGUGUGGCAGAUGGGGGUGGAAUUCCGCGUGUAGCAGUGAAAUGCGUAGAGAUGCGGAGGAACACCGAUGGCGAAGGCAGCCCCCUGGGCUAACACUGACGCUCAGGCACGAAAGCGUGGGGAGCAAACAGG
rnacentral:rRNA from 1 species